UGUCUCUCUACCUUCAUAGCCACAUGCAACAUGUCUUCCAACUCCACAUAAUGUUGCAACUCCACUACAUUGGCAAUUUUCCUAUUCAACCCAUUCAAGAAUCGUGCCAUAGUAGCCUCCCGAUCCUCCACCACAUUGGCCCUAAUCAUGAGUAUUUCCAUCUCCUUAUGAUAGUCCUCUACACUUUUCGACCCUUGAUAUAGACCUUGCAGUUUUUGAUGGAUCUCUCAGUAAUAGUGGCUAGGAACAAACCUCUUUCUCA
rnacentral:lncRNA from 1 species